rnacentral:rRNA from 1 species
UACGGGGGGGGCAAGCGUUGUUCGGAAUUACUGGGCGUAAAGGGCUCGUAGGCGGCCAACUAAGUCGGAUGUGAAAUCCCCAGGCUCAACUUGGGAACUGCAUCCGAUACUGGAUGGCUUGAAUCCGGGAGAGGGAUGCGGAAUUCCAGGUGUAGCGGUGAAAUGCGUAGAUAUCUGGAGGAACACCGGUGGCGAAGGCGGCAUCCUGGACCGGCAUUGACGCUGAGGCGCGAAAGCUAGGGGAGCAAACGGG